UAUAGAGAAGGAUCCUGUGGCAGAGACGGAGCCGAGAUACAUGGUUAGCAAUCAGCAACAAGGAUGCCAGCCACUAGAUGAGACAAAUGGAGCACAUAGAAGCCACACAACCUUCCUAAAGUCACGCAGCUGGAGGCCGCACAGCCAGAUGGCUCCAGAGGACAUGUCCUUAAUCAUGAUGUUGCUAUUUAGCAGAAACAUCGCUGCAGAAAGUCAGACCACAGAUGGGGACUGGUGGAAACCAAACAUAUGACUACAUCAGUCUACAAAAGCAUCAUGGUAUUCCCACAUAAUUCAGAAGCAUGCCAGGCCAUUCAGAAUCUACAGACCAGAGCAAUCAUGCAAGAUAAUGGAAGAUAAUGACAAAACAAUAUAAUGACAAGAUAAUGGAAGAUAGUGACAAAAAUAUUCUGAGCAUCAUUGAUUUAGUCACCCUUUAUUUCAUAAACAUCUUAGAAUUUUCUUCCCACCUUUGUUUAUUAUUUGGUGUGAUUUUGUGUUUUUUCUUCCUAAUCUUUUAUUAAUUUAUUUUAAGUGACAAGUAAAUAUUGUAUAUAUUUAUGGUAUACAAAAUGUAUUUGUAUUUUGAUAUAUGCAUACAUUGUGGAAUGGCUAAAUUAAGCUAUUUAACAUAUGCAUUAUCUCACAUACUUAUAUUUUUGUGAUUAGAACACAUAAAACCUACUCUCAGUAAUUUUUAAAUAAACAAUAGAUUAUUAAAUGUAGUCAUAAUGAUGUACAAUAGAUCUCUUAAAUUUAUUCCUCCUGUCUAAUUGAUUUUGUGGUCUUUGACCAACAGUUUCCCAACACCCCCAGCCCCCGCCCCCAGGUAAUCACCAUUCUACUGUCUGCUUCUAAGAGUUCAACUUUUUUAUGCUCUGCAUAUAAGUAAAAUCAUGCAGUAUUUGUCCUUCUGUGACUGGCUUAUUUCACCUAACAUAAUGUCCUCCAGGUUUAUCCAUGUUGUCCCAAAUGACAGGAUUUCAUUCUCUUUUAAGGCUGAAUAGCAUUCUAUUGUGCAGAUAUACCACAUUUUCUUUAGCCACUUAUUCGUGGUAUUGAUGAACAUUUAGGUUUGCUUUUUAUUCUUUCCUUUUCAACUUUUAUUUUAGAAUCAGGGGUGCAUGUGCAGGUUCGUUACAUAGGUAUAUUGCAUGAUGCUGAAGUUUAGAGUAUGAAUUUAUCUGUCAUGGGAACAGUAGAUACUGGGAAAUACAAGAAGGGGAAGGAAGGAAGGGGGGUAAGGGCUGAA
rnacentral:lncRNA from 10 species